rnacentral:rRNA from 1 species
GAUGGGAGCUUGCUCCCUGAGAUUAGCGGCGGACGGGUGAGUAACACGUGGGCAACCUGCCUAUAAGACUGGGAUAACUUCGGGAAACCGGAGCUAAUACCGGAUACGUUCUUUUCUCGCAUGAGAGAAGAUGGAAAGACGGUUUACGCUGUCACUUAUAGAUGGGCCCGCGGCGCAUUAGCUAGUUGGUGAGGUAAUGGCUCACCAAGGCGACGAUGCGUAGCCGACCUGAGAGGGUGAUCGGCCACACUGGGACUGAGACACGGCCCAGACUCCUACGGGAGGCAGCAGUAGGGAAUCUUCCGCAAUGGACGAAAGUCUGACGGAGCAACGCCGCGUGAACGAAGAAGGCCUUCGGGUCGUAAAGUUCUGUUGUUAGGGAAGAACAAGUACCAGAGUAACUGCUGGUACCUUGACGGUACCUAACCAGAAAGCCACGGCUAACUACGUGCCAGCAGCCGCGGUAAUACGUAGGUGGCAAGCGUUGUCCGGAAUUAUUGGGCGUAAAGCGCGCGCAGGUGGUUCCUUAAGUCUGAUGUGAAAGCCCACGGCUCAACCGUGGAGGGUCAUUGGAAACUGGGG